UGAUUGGUGGGUUUAAGCCAAUCAGAGUGCUCUGAGUCAUUUUACACAGCGUUGGAAAAUUCAAAAGAACUGUUUUACUGGGGCCCCCACCCACCGCUCAGGGGUGGGGGCCAGGGGGGGAGGACAGUAGGUCCCCCCCUUAUUGUUUUAUUAGGGCCCCCACCCACCGCACCGGGGGGGACAGAAGACAGAAAACUUUGCAUGCAGAUGUCAUCCAUAUCAACUUUUGAUGCCAGUUUCUGCGCCUACCAUGGUGACCACGGGUAACGGGGAAUCAGAGUUCCAUUUCGUACAGGGACCCUGAGAAACGGCUACCACAUACAAGGAAGGCAGCAGGCGUGCAAAUGACCCACUCCCGACGUGGGAUGGUAGUGACGACAAAUAACAAUACAGGACUCUUUAGAGGCCCUGUAAUUGUAAUGAGUCCACUUGAAAUCCUUUAACUCUGAUCAAUUGGAGGGAAGUCUGGUGCAGAGCCACUGACCCGUGCGUGCUGCAGCUGAAACUCCACUA